AAUGAACGCUGGCGGCAGGCCUAACACAUGCAAGUCGAACGGAUCCUUCGGGAUUAGUGGCGGACGGGUGAGUAACGCGUGGGAACAUACCCUUUGGUACGGAAUAGCCUCGGGAAACUGGGAGUAAUACCGUAUGUGGUCGAGAGACGAAAGAUUUAUCGCCAAAGGAUUGGCCCGCGUUGGAUUAGGUAGUUGGUGGGGUAAUGGCCUACCAAGCCGACGAUCCAUAGCUGGUUUGAGAGGAUGAUCAGCCACACUGGGACUGAGACACGGCCCAGACUCCUACGGGAGGCAGCAGUGGGGAAUCUUAGACAAUGGGGGAAACCCUGAUCUAGCCAUGCCGCGUGAUCGAUGAAGGCCUUAGGGUUGUAAAGAUCUUUCAGGUGGGAAGAUAAUGACUGUACCACCUGAAGAAGCCCCGGCUAACUCCGUGCCAGCCGCCGCGGUAAAAC
rnacentral:rRNA from 1 species